UCGCGGCCUCCCGGAACCGGAAGGCGCCCUUGCGGCCCAAGCGGCGGCCCUUCGCGACCUCGGGGGGCGGCGGGCACGCGACCCGCUUGCAGGCCGGGGCCUCCCGCUCUAGCGCACCUCCGACGCGUGCAGCUCGCACCGCGGGACCUCGCUGCCAGACAGGUAGAAGCCGGCGUCCAUCUGGAGGUCGCACGAACGCUUGAAACACUGGUCCGCGGACACCGGCGACCACCGCCCGCUGGGCCUGCAAAGCGCCAGGGUGAGAAUCUCCUGGCGACGCAAGUACCCCGGCCUGCACCGGAAGUCCACCCGUUCCCCGACAUCGUAGGCGGCUUUGGUCGUGCCCACCAGCUCCAUAUUGGGGGCCCCAGUUGUUCCCUGAGGUCGGGUCCCUGGGUGAGGCAGGACCAGGUGAUGCAGGAGGGUUUGCCUGGAAACGCAGCCCCAGACGAGCAUGCCUGGCAAGCAGGGUGGUGGAAGAGGCCGGAGGGCCCAGGGAAAUAAUAUGGGCCUGGAAGGCGUCAAGGAUGAAGAUCUGAGGAAGGAGAUGGCAGAAGGUGUUUGGAAUUCUUGGUGCUCCUGGGGUCGACUUACAUUUCACUUUGGCUGAGUUAUAGAAAGUAUUUAAUGGUCUGAAACUUCCCCUUGCCUGAGAUGUGAAAAAUAGCUGGAUUAUGUAUUUGUUCUUUUAAAAACUCCUUAGAAUAAAUCUCAAAUAUCCACUAUGUCAGUAUUUCCAAGAUUUUGUUUCAUUCCAUAAGUUUUUUAGAUUUUCUUCUUUUAUUUCUAAGACAACUGACUGAUGGCCUAAUAACAUUUUACAUGAAAAUAGCCAUAUUACCUAAUGCAGUGGUAGUGAAGAAAUUUCUGCACUGAAUUUCUAUGAAAAAGACUUUAAAUUCAUAAUUUUCUCAAGGUUAUUUACAUAUCUAAUAUUCUAUGUCUACCAACAACAUUUUCUCAUAAUGCAUAGUUUAUUAGUAAAAAUACGAACAAGUCCUAGAGACGGUGUUAUUAAGUAGUUAAAAGUCUUUAUCCCUAUUAAGUAAAUGUGGUUUUAAAGCUUUUAUUAGAAGCAGAAUUUCCUAUGGUCAUAUUUGACCUAAUAACCACAUUAUUUUUUUAAAAACUUAAAAACACUCCAAUAAUAAAAUAUAAUUUUCUACACAGCAGUAUUAUCCAAAAAGGACUUAACUUUAUGCCCUUACCAUAAAUGUAAUAUAGUAUUUUACAGCCUCUCCUGCUGAAAUUCAAUUAUUGAAUUUUUAAUAAAGCACAUCAUCAGUAAAUGGAAAAAAUGGUUUAAGGCACAAGAUUUUUGAGACC
rnacentral:lncRNA from 1 species